AUGCAGAGCAGGCUUCUGGGGCCACUGGAUUGGUAAUGUCCUUUCUCCUCUGUCAGGCAAACAGGAGGGACGCAGAGACCACGCUCAGGAGCGGGGCUCCUACUUCUGGGCCUUCAUUACAGAGAGGGUGAGGCUUGGCCCUGGCGGUAAGCUUUGGGUUCACUCAGCCGGUGGGUGGAGACAGAUGGCAGAGUCAGAGGGGAAGCCAAGGACCUGCCCCAAGAACUCCCCAGCUUCUGCAGAGGCCGCGCCAGGAGAGACGGGGCUGGGGAUCGCAGGAGUAGGGAGAGGUCCAGAGAGGAGAGACUCUGUAGAUGAACAAGGGACAGGACUCCUGAGAAGGAGCCAGAACCCUGGGCCACAAGCCGAGAAAUGCAGCUUUGGAAGAUUUGCAAAGAGACCCCACUGAGGGACAAAACGAAGGUUUCUGAGUUGCGGAGAAACCUGGAGGCAGUGUGCUGGAGGAAUAUAAGGAGGCCAGCAUAAGGGUUCCCCGGCUAUGUGGACCCUGGUGGCCAGUGGUCCCGGGUCCCGUGUUGAGAGUGUGGGGGAUCCUUGGUGCUGUAUCAGGCCCCUGCCUUCUUGCAUAGGAGGACCCGUGCUUCCUUCUUUCUUGCUUUCCCCUGAGCCUCAGGCUCCACCAGAGCAAGGGCUGUGCUGUCUUCCUUCUGGUCCGCAGCUUCCACACGCCUCUUCUGUGAUUGUUGGAGGGACCCAGAAAUGAUCGCCUCAGAAAGUCCCCAGGGAGGAUCACAACUGCUGUCCCGAGGGAGGAUCACAGGACCAGGAUGAUUCCCUCUCUGCAGUCCCUCCCUCCUGUGGGGCCUUCCAGAUCCUCGGCUCUUCCUAUCUUCAUCACCCUCCCAGGAAGCAUCCCUGCCCAAGUUGUCCUGUGGAGAAGGAUGCUGACGGUGCUGGAGAAGGCUUUCUGAAAAGAUGAGGAGGGUCUCAGGCUUGCCGAGCACAGUGUGCCUGCAGGGAAUGGGCACACACUUGAACAGUAGGUUCCUGCCUUGGCUUCCCCUCAAGAGUGAACUGUGACCUGUAAGACGAAGCAAACUCUUUUUCCUUCGCCUAAGUCGCUUUUGGUCGCGGUGUUUA